rnacentral:lncRNA from 1 species
CAUGAAGUAGAGGAGACAGGACGAGGGAGAAAGGACGAAGGAAGCAUCAGUUGGAGCAGUUCAGCAUGAGCCACAUGAACCACGGUCCGUGCGUGGACAAGGCGACGUGGAUGUACACGACGUUGCCUUGGAGAUCGAGGCGCGGGCAGAAACAGUACAAACAAUAAGAGCCGUUGUUAAAAACAGCCACAACCAUGACAUGAUGGCAUCAUUUCCACAUAAAAGAUAUGCUACGGUUUCACGUCACAGCUGAACCGCUGAGGUUCUGCUCCAAACCCGGUGAGCGGCUUAUGGUCACUGUUCGUUGAAAGUUUCAGACCAAAACUCAUCAGGGAAACUAAUGAACAAAAACACAGCGGGGGACUCUAUGAUUCCAAACUGGAUCUACCCGCUCACCUGAAAGAGGCGCGCCCUGAGCAGGACGUCAAAAAGCUUAAACCUACGGGCACCUGUCAAUUAAACCAACCUCACCGCAGCGGGCGCGUGACGGUAAAUGCCACUCAACCCGUUUCUUUCGCCAUUCAAGGGUCCGACACACCUGACGCAGGACAAAGCUGCCAUAUAAAAGCUGCAGGUGUUUGUUGAGCGACACUCAUCACUAAGCGGCCGAACCAACGGGACCAGGCGGCGUCGACGGACACGAACAGCUCAAUUUUUUUUCACAAUGAUGAUGAAAACCUGUAUUGUUCUUCUCCUGCUGUUUGUUGCCUCAGGCAACACACAGACUUUAACAACAGUUCCUCCAGCCACCACCACAGUGGCCAUGACCACGGAAUCAACUACCACCGGAGCAACAACUACCACAGGAGCAACAACUACCACAGGAGCAACAACUACCACAGGAGUAACUACGACCGGGGGAUCAACUACCACCGGAGGAUCAACUACCACCGGAGGAGCAACUACCACCGGAGGAUCAACCGCCACUGUAUCCACAACAAAAGCCACCUCUUCAGCAGCCAUAAACAAAACAAGCUUCCUUCUACUCACAUCAGUUGUCUCCUCACUUCUUUGGAAAUGAAUUUGCUCAAAUGAGGGACCAAACAGCUUGUUUGUAGUUGACACACUGAUGUUUAUAUGAAGGCGCAGCCUGAUUUGUGAGGCUUUAUUGUCAGGUUCUCUUCUUUUGUCCUGUUUAUAUUAAAGACGUAGAAAGGCAGCGUUCAACAGAUCUAAGUGACCCACACAGUGUGGCGACAGCUCUGUAGAACACUGUAGAUGCAUAAAACAUGUCCAAAUAUUAAAAGCACACAAACAUAGCAAACGUUGCUGCCUCAUCCUGUGUCUUUAUUUUGACUUAUGACUUACAGCAUA